rnacentral:lncRNA from 1 species
AUGCGAGCUGGCCUGGCUAACUGCAGACCUAAAGAAUGCGCAUCUCUCCCUCCAGGUUCAGAUCCACCCACAGCCCUGUGGCUCCUUCACUUUAUGUUCAGUGAGGCAUCAAUCACUCAGCCGAUGUGGAACACAGGAAGAGCUCAGGAAAAUGCUGAGGGCUGGAGAGUGUUUCAUUUCAUAAAGAACCAUGCUAAGAGCCACAGCCACCACCUUUUUUUUCCUUUUUUUUUAAGAAUAAUUUUUGUUUUUUUUUUAAAUUAUAAAAACUAAGUUCAUGGAAAAACAUUUAGAAAAUGCAAGAAAUACUUUAAAACAUUAAAAUUAUCUUUAGCUCAACUCCCUGACAUUUUGAUGUGUUUCUUUCCAGUGGGGAAGACCUCGUAUACCACUGCAGCAGGCGGGAGCCAGAAGUGGGUCAGAACUCUGGAUGAAGUGCUUGAGGCUCCAGAUCUGGACGCCCUGCUUCUUGGUCAACCAGCAGAGACUUCCUAAGGCUGGAGCCUGAGAGGGUGCUCUGGUCUGUCCAUUUCUUCAUCCCGAGGAGGAUGCUUAGAGCUGCAUUCUUCCCCCAGGCCCACUCCUGAAGUUCUGCAACUCUUCAUGAGCAGCUGCAGUUGCCCCAGAGGUGGGGGAAACCAAAUCCAAUAUCUAAUGUUUCGUUUCUUUGCUUUACCCUCUUGAAACCCUAUAGGAUGUGAUCUUUCUGUCCCCUUUGCUCCCUAUUUGGCAUCACCUUAAAGCCCUUUUACAUUGGGCGGAAUGCUUUGAUAGAACACAGGACUGGGAACCAGGGCUUCUGGGUUCCCCUCCCCCUGUGUGAUCUCGGGCAACUUGGCAGCAACAACCGUGUAGGUUUGACCAUCAGAUUGUGGUGGCAGCCUCUGAGUGACUUCAGGCUCACCCUGAGUCAACGUACUAACGCAGCAUGUAUGUGUCCUAUGAGUGAAUGAAUGAUUGUCCUGACUUUGGAUUCCACAGAGAAGAGACUUGAAAAAUAGUACAGGGAAAUUCCCACCAUGUUUUACAGCAUCACUGGUCCAAAAAAAAGGAAGAGGGUGUUUUAGUCUGCUAAAGCUGCUAUAAUAACAUUCCAUAGACAAGGUAGCUUAGACAAGAGGAGUUAUUUCUUGUAGUUGUGGAGAUUGGGAAGUCCGAAAUCAAAGUGCUAAGAGAUUUGGCGUUGGGGGAGAGCCUUCUCCGUGGCUGGUGGUUAGCUGUAGAUAGCUACCUUCUCACUGUGUGCUUCCAUGGCCUUUCCCUAGUGUGCGCUUGUGAGGAGAGGCAUCUCUUUCCUUCUUUGUACAAGGACCCUCCCCAUCAGGAGGAUCGCACCUUGAAGACAUAAUCUAAACCUAAUUAACUCCCAAAGGUUCCAUCUCCAAAACCAACACACUAGGGGGUAGGACCUCAUAAUGAAUUUUGGGGUAGACAAAGACCCUCAGCCCAUGGCAGGGUGUAAUGAAUCAGAGGACUGUCCACAGAGCACUGGCGCUCAAGUGCCAUGCCUGUGGGGGUUACCCAACUUUCUGGAGUCUUUUAGGUUAGCCUGUAAUGUAGCAAUACCUACCUUAAGGAUGGUCCUGGAGGUAAAGUAGCAUAACCAGUGUUCCACACUUGACACCAAGACUGGUUAACAAAGGUUUCAUCAAGAUGACUGAUAUUACUUCUGUUAUUGUUACUGACUUCAUUGCUUCUAUUGUUUCUCAUUCCCAAUGGUUAAGUACUAAUCAUGGGAGAGUUCAAAGAACCUCAAGAGCUUCAGGGCUUUUUUAGAGUGAUCGUUUCCAUCUAUAAAGUGCAGCUACUCCACAGAUUGUGAAAAAUCAAAUGCAAGUAAGUUCCAGAUUCUCUCCUUGCCAGUAGGAGAGCACUUCCUGGAACGUCAACUGAGCUGGACUUCCAAGCGUAUACUAGUGCAUCGUGGCAAGCCUGAAUCACUCGUUCUUAUCACCACCACCACCACCACCUCCUUUUUUUUUUUUUGAAAGAGAGCGCUAGCAUGAAUGGGGUGGGGGAGGGACAGAGAGGGGCAGAGGAAGAGAGAGAAUCUUAAGCAGACUCCAUGCCCGGUGUGGAGCCAGAUGUAGAGUUCCAUCUCACAACCCUGAGAUCAUGACCUGAGUGAAAAUCAGGAGUCUGAUGCCACCCAGGCACCCCUCUUAUCACUUUAUUUUAUAGGUGAGAGUUGAUGAUAGGCGUCAAAUGAAAGUUGGCACUGGAGCCUGGUUGCUAACUUCUCAGAGGGUCAUUAACAAAAGGGAUCUAUGUUAAGAGCAAUAAAGAAGCCCUUUCUGUUCUUGCA